CCUACGGGGGGCAGCAGUGGGGAAUAUUGCACAAUGGGGGAAACCCUGAUGCAGCGACGCCGCGUGAGUGAAGAAGUAUUUCGGUACGUAAAGCUCUAUCAGCAGGGAAGAAAAUGCCGGUACCUGACUAAGAAGCCCCGGCUAACUACGUGCCAGCAGCCGCGGUAAUACGUAGGGUGCCAGCGUUAUCCGGAUUUACUGGGUGUAAAGGGAGCGUAGACGGCAGCGCAAGUCUGGAGUGAAAUCCCAUGGCUUAACCAUGGAACUGCUUUGGAAACUGUGCAGCUAGAGUGCAGGAGAGGUAAGCGGAAUUCCUAGUGUAGCGGUGAAAUGCGUAGAUAUUAGGAGGAACACCAGUGGCGAAGGCGGCUUACUGGACUGUAACUGACGUUGAGGCUCGAAAGCGUGGGGAGCAAACAGGAUUAGAUACCCUGGUAGUC
rnacentral:rRNA from 1 species